rnacentral:misc_RNA from 1 species
GAUGAAGAACGCAGCGAAAUGCGAUAAGUAAUGUGAAUUGCAGAAUUCAGUGAAUCAUCGAAUCUUUGAACGCACAUUGCGCCCAUUAGCAUUCUAGUGGGCAUGCCUGUUCGAGCGUCAUUUCAACCCUUAAGCCCUGUUGCUUAGCGUUGGGAGCCUACAGUACUGUAGCUCCCCAAAGUUAGUGGCGGAGUCGGUUUCACACUCUAGACGUAGUAAUUUUUUCUCGUCUGUAGUUGAGCCGGUCCCCUGCCGUAAAACACCCAAUUUAUCAAGGUUGACCUCGGAUCAGGUAGGAAUACCCGCUGAACUUAAGCAUAUCAAUAAGCGGAGGA